rnacentral:lncRNA from 1 species
CAAUCUAAAAUUCGAUCUCCAGAUGACAAAGUCAGCACCACCCCUAUCAUCUCUGAUGCUACUGUCAAAAUUUAUCUUAACAAAUCUUAAAAGAAAGGAUCCUCAGAAAAUAAAGAUAACCCUCCAGGUCGCUGCAGGAGCAGCAUAGGAGCGCUAAAAAUCGGAGGCAUCAAGGAGCAUACCGGUAGCAUCAAAAUGGUUGUACUGUACAGUCAAGCAGAAAACUCUCUCCAACACCCGAUGAGUAGGUACCACUUCUGUUUUGAAGAUCAAACUAUUCCUGGAGAGCC